CGGUGCUCAGAGCUGUGCAGGAAUUGGAAAGUUUCAGAAUAUUUUUGGACCGCAGUUGACUGCAGGUAGCAGAAACCUAGGAAAACGAAACUGCCAAUGGGGGACCACUGUAUUCCUAUUAUCAUGCCUGUUUUGCACAGGGAGAAACCGAGGCUCCCAGAGGUUAAAAAGCUGCCCAAGAUCACACAGGUAAGCAAGUGGCUGAGUCAGGGCUCCGACCCGGGCCAUGAAGCCCCAUCUCAGCUGCUGUGGAUAUUGCCUGCUGCAAGCUCACUGUGUCAGCACCCACCAAAGAUAUACGCCGUGGAAGGGCCCAGUGAGAAAGCAGUGACCAUGUUUUGGAUUUCUCUCCAGGUAAAUAUUUUUUCAAACAGGCCUUCCAUGUGGAAAGGAAUCACCAGAUCAAAUACAGAAUAGCCAGUUAAAUUGGGUGUUUAGAUAAACAAUGAAUAACUUUUUUUACUGUAAGUAUGCCCUGACUUGCUUGUGCUGAGAAGAAGAGUUACUCAUUGUUUAUCUGCAGUUCAAAU
rnacentral:lncRNA from 1 species